AGACAUUUAUCCUUUUCUUAUGGAACAGACAGAGGUGCGUGGUCCUGAGUCAGUGGGCAGUUCGGCUCCACAGGAACCUCUGCUCCCAGGGAACCUUCCGCCCUACAGACCUGCGGUUUCCCAGCUGCUAUCAUUGCCCGGGGUGGACGUUGUCUCCUCCUCCUCCUCUACAUUCCAGUUCAAGGGCUUUUGUCUUCCAGGAGAUGACCUGGAAGUUGUGCACUUCACUUGGGCUCCCCUCUUGUUGUCACAGGGCCACACCUCGUUGCCAGGGGGGCGGGGAACGUAAACUUCCGGGUAGUCCUAUUCCCAGCGGGGACCUAGGAGGUCCUCUCCCGAAGAGGAAGGGAAGGAGAAUGCGCACAGACCGGGGGGUGCGGGUGCCACUUGGCAGAAUCUGCCCCAUCACAGGGGUCUCUCCUCCAUCUUUCUCUCUUGCUUUCCAUCCUGCUGAGAUGUCGCUUUGAUCAAAUGAAGCUUCCUCUGACCACUCCCAGGCAGACCUUCCACCCCCCACCCCCUCACUACCUCCGCUCCUGCGCUGCUCUGUUUCUACCCCUGAGACAGCAGUUUCCAAACCGGCUCAGAACUCAUCUGUCUGUUGCCUCGCUCUCCCUCUGCACCGUGAACAGCUUUGAGAACAGAGACCUCGCCUGAUUCAUCUCCGCGUUCCUAUUCCUCUCACAGCGCUUGGCUCCUGGACGUGGUCAGCGGAUUUAUACGAGACAGAAUGAAUAAUUCAAGGCAAUGUUAUUUGACUUUGCAUGUGGCUUGCUUAUGGAAGGACAGUGCUUCACCUCCCAAGUGUGUAUCAUUUCCAUAGGCUGUGUUGCUUUCCUGCAGGGCUGAGUCUCCGUGCUCCCAGGAUGAGUUAUCUGAACCAGCGCUCGUCCCAGCUCAUCCUGCCUGCAGCUUCUCCAGCCUGAAGUACAGAGCAUCCUCUGCCUGCAGCGCGGCCCCUUCUUGGCCUCUGAAGACAAGAUGUAGCCCAUGAUGGCAGCUUCGUCUCACUUUGCUUGGGAUCUGGGAGGCCCAUUACAUGCCUGCUGAGCCACGGAGCCACGGUCUCCGCUAAUCUUCACGCGACUUCUGUGUGAGCCUGGCUUCAACACCGGCUUUCACAGACAUGGCGCCUGACACUCAGAGAGAUCAAGCAGCUUACCUGGGGUCCCGAGUAUAAGGACUAGGACUUGAACUCAGUCUUGCCCUUUCCCGAAGCCUGUCUCUUUGUGCUAAGCCAGAGGGACUAGACUUACCUUCGCCACACGGCCAACAGGGAGGGUGGGCAGAGCUCAUCCCUUCUUUCCAAUGUCCCCGCGAGACAGAAACGUCUCUCAACACUUCUGCCUUUUCAGGAAAGUGCUGGCACAGGGCAUUUUCACUCCUCUCAACUCUCCUUAUGGGCAUGAGAUCCUACAGAGGGUGAAAAACUUGGGGGGUGGGUUGGCGAUCAGGUCUAUAAAGUAUUUGUUUCAGGGGGCAGAGAGUUGAACGAAGGGGAAGCUGCCAGUGGAUUUCUGGGGCAGAUUUAUACAUGGGGGUCUUGGCCAGGUGCCAGUCCUUAACGAUGUAAACGCUCCUGUCCAUUUUGCACGCGGAAACUGCAUCGGGCAGAUUGCCGAGAACCUAAAGCUCCAGAGCAAAUAAACCGAGAGUUUUCUCUUUGGUUGGGAAGGGGACAAGCAAGAAUGUACACGUGAGAAGGCAGCAUUACUCUUAACAGGUGCCUGCUCUUUCCCAAGUGACUGUAAUUUCCCUGUGUCUUAAUUCCCUAGCCGCAAAAUAGACACAAUGAUUCUUUACGAAUUGCACCAGGCUUUGGCCAAGACAGGUGGGGACUAUAUAUGAGAAAGGGUCUUAUAUCCUUAGGAAGAAAGGCGGCUUGUACUCCAAGGUAUUUAUGUUAUUAAUUUUAUUCAAAAAUUAAAAAUGGGUUAGGGAGACCACAAAGGCAUUUUAUUGCUCUAAGCUGUCAGAAAGUUCCAGCUGAAUGGACUCAUCCAAGGUUUUCUUCAAAUGAACAGGAUUAAGCUAUUAUUUUUGUCAAUCUGGAUGGUUUCUUCACCCUGCACAAUUCUUAAAACCUCAUUGUGAUUCAUUUCAACUCUCAAAACUUGGGCUGAACACAUUU